CUCACUCAUGCAGACAGGCGCUCUCGCCUACGGCUCUGAGGCUUAGCCGGCUUUGCCUUGGUGAAGGACAAGGGUCUGGCGACCCAGAUUCUCUCGCGGGUGGCUGGGGAAAGAGGGGCGGUGGCGUGCUGGGCUGGCUGGAGGGCCCCAGGCCCUGGCGCGAGUCCUGCAAGGAUGCUGCCUCCAAGUGUGCUUGUGGGUGGCGAAUCCCAGGGCCUCCCGGAAGUGUCCACUCCUCGGGAGGCCUGGCUGCUCAGCGGCGCCCCUCUGUGGCGAGACUCGCCCAGGCCCAUGUCCGGCCCGCCUCGCGCCAGCCCGGCUCCCCUGGGCAGCCUCAGGACAGAGAACCCUGAUUUUCAGAGGGAGGCUGCGGGUGUGGGGCCUCUAGGCACUUGCAGGAUGGAGCUACCCCACACCCAGGGCUCACCCUCAGCCCUCCCCAGGCGUUCCGGAGGCGGCGGAAAGUCCAGAGGGUCUCCGAAGCCGGUAGACGGGGCCAUGAAGAAGACGUCGGGCUUCAGGAGGGGGAAGGGCGAGCUGCCCAAGGUGGGCGCGGGCGCCGGGAGUGAGUGCGGCCGAUGCCUCCUCCCAGCCCAGGCGCCACGACCCGGACAAGGGGAUCGACAGGCCCCACAGAGCUGUCGGCGAGGACCGGACAGAGACGAUGCGGCGGAUCCUUUCUCUGCCGAAGAGUGGCGUGGAUGACAGAGACGAGAAGAGCAGGGUCUUUUUGGAGUUCCUGAGCUCAGUGCCCCAGAAGGAUUUCAUACUGCACAAGAAAAAGCCUUAAGAAAGACAGAAUUGCU